rnacentral:rRNA from 1 species
GCAACCUACCUAGUCAGACGGGAAUAACCCGGCGAAAGUCGGACUGAUACCGCAGUAAACAGGGACACCGCAUGGUGAUAUUGUUAAGAAAUUCGCUGAUAGAUGGGCAUGCGUUCCAUUAGGAGUUGGUGAGGUAACGGCUCACCAAGCCGACGAUGGAUAGGGGAACUGAGAGUUGGUCCCCACACUGGUACUGAGACACGGACCAGACUCCUACGGGAGGCAGCAGUGAGGAAUAUUGGUCAAUGGGCGAGAGCCUGAACCAGCCAAGUCGCGUGAAGGAAAGAAGGAUCUAUGGUUCGUAAACUUCUUUUGCAGGGGAAUAAAGUGCAGGACGUGUCCUGUUUUGUAUGUACCCUGAGAAUAAGGAUCGGCUAACUCCGUGCCAGCAGCUGC